rnacentral:rRNA from 1 species
GAUGAACGCUAGCGGCAGGCUUAACACAUGCAAGUCGAGGGGUAACAUUGUGCUUGCACAGAUGACGACCGGCGCACGGGUGCGUAACGCGUAUAGAACCUACCUUUUACAGAGGGAUAGCCUUUAGAAAUGAAGAUUAAUACCUUAUAGUAUUGCGACUUGGCAUCGAGUUGUAAUUAAAGAUUUAUCGGUAAAAGAUGGCUAUGCGUCCUAUUAGUUAGAUGGUAAGGUAACGGCUUACCAUGACUAUGAUAGGUAGGGGUCCUGAGAGGGAGAUCCCCCACACUGGUACUGAGACACGGACCAGACUCCUACGGGAGGCAGCAGUGAGGAAUAUUGGGCAAUGGAGGCAACUCUGACCCAGCCAUGCCGCGUGCAGGAAGACUGCCCUAUGGGUUGUAAACUGCUUUUAUACAGGAAGAAACACUAGUACGUGUACUAGCUUGACGGUACUGUAAGAAUAAGGACCGGCUAACUCCGUGCCAGAAGG